CCUACGGGCGGCAGCAGUGAGGAAUAUUGGUCAAUGGACGCAAGUCUGAACCAGCCAUGCCGCGUGCAGGAAGACGGCUCUAUGAGUUGUAAACUGCUUUUGUACGAGGGUAAACGCAGAUACGCGUAUCUGUCUGAAAGUAUCGUACGAAUAAGGAUCGGCUAACUCCGUGCCAGCAGCCGCGGUAAUACGGAGGAUUCAAGCGUUAUCCGGAUUUAUUGGGUUUAAAGGGUGCGUAGGCGGUCGGAUAAGUUAGAGGUGAAAUCCCGGGGCUCAACUCCGGCAUUGCCUCUGAUACUGUGCGGCUAGAGAUUAGUUGCGGUAGGCGGAAUGUAUGGUGUAGCGGUGAAAUGCAUAGAGAUCAUACAGAACACCGAUUGCGAAGGCAGCUUACCAAGCUACUGCUGACGUUGAGGCACGAAAGCGUGGGGAGCAAACAGGAUUAGAUACCCGAGUAGUC
rnacentral:rRNA from 1 species